GAACUGAGACACGGUCCAAGAUUCCUACGGGAGGCAGCAGUGGGGAAUAUUGCACAAUGGGCGCAAGCCUGAUGCAGCCAUGCCGCGUGUAUGAAGAAGGCCUUCGGGUUGUAAAGUACUUUCAGUCGUGAGGAAGGCGGCGUCGUUAAUAGCGGCGUUGUUUGACGUUAGCGACAGAAGAAGCACCGGCUAACUCCGUGCCAGCAGCCGCGGUAAUA
rnacentral:rRNA from 1 species